GGCUCUUCGGCCUUCACAAACGAGAAACACAUGGCGAAAAUCCUUAUGUUUGCGAGAUAUGCAAGAAAAGCUUUAGAACUAGAAGAGAACUAAACAGGCACCGAGUUGUACAUAGCGAU